UGGGGAAUAUUGCACAAUGGGCGCAAGCCUGAUGCAGCGACGCCGCGUGGGGGAUGACGGCCUUCGGGUUGUAAACUCCUUUCGCCAGGGACGAAGCGUUUUGUGACGGUACCUGGAGAAGAAGCACCGGCUAACUACGUGCCAGCAGCCGCGGUAAUACGUAGGGUGCAAGCGUUGUCCGGAAUUACUGGGCGUAAAGAGCUCGUAGGUGGUUUGUCACGUCGUCUGUGAAAUUCCACAGCUUAACUGUGGGCGUGCAGGCGAUGCGGGCUGACUUGAGUACUGUAGGGGUAACUGGAAUUCCUGGUGUAGCGGUGAAAUGCGCAGAUAUCAGGAGGAACACCGAUGGCGAAGGCAGGUUACUGAGCAGUUACUGACGCUGAGGAGCGAAAGCAUGGGUAGCAAACAGGAUUAGAUACCCUGGUAGUCCAUGCCGUAAACGGUGGGCGCUAGGUGUAGGGGCCUUUUGGGGUUUCUGUGCCGUAGCUAACGCAUUAAGCGCCCCGCCUGGGGAGUACGGCCGCAAGGCUA
rnacentral:rRNA from 1 species